GUUUACUUGCGAUGAAGUUGUUGAUUUAGUUUAAUUAUCCGGAUGAAAUAUGUCAGAACACGAUAAAACGUGUUUGCCGUUAAUUAUUUAUUAGCCUACAUGAGGGAGAAAUACUACAGACAUGCCAUAAAUACAGCUGUGAAGAAUUUAAAGUUGUACGAUAAUGAUCCAGUGCUCCGGUUCUUCAACGCUUUUGCAACUCUGAUGGAAGGUGAUGUUGGAGGCGUCUUUGCUCAUGACGGCUCAAGGUUUCGUUCAGCUAAAGCAGAUUCCCAAAGCCAGAAACUUCCUCAAACGCCUCGCCAAGAUGGAGUGGAGCGACGCAAGCGCGGAUGACUUCGAGAACGCCUGCUGAUUUAGCUUAAAUCAGCA